rnacentral:rRNA from 1 species
CGGGUGCACUGAUCCAGCCGGGCCUUUCCCUCUGUGGAACCCCAUGGCCUUCACUGGCUGUGGUGGGGAAACAGGACUUUUACUUUGAAAAAAUUAGAGUGCUCCAGGCAGGCCUAUGCUCGAAUACAUUAGCAUGGAAUAAUAGAAUAGGACGUGUGGUUCUAUUUUGUUGGUUUCUAGGACCGCCGUAAUGAUUAAUAGGGACAGUCGGGGGCAUCAGUAUUCAAUUGUCAGAGGUGGAAUUCUUGGAUCUAUUGAAGACUAACUACUGCGAAAGCAUUUGCCAAGGAUGUUUUCAUUGAUAAGGAACGAAAGUUAGGGGAUCGAAGACGAUCAGAUACCGUCGUAGUCUUAACUAUAAACUAUGCCGACUAGGGAUCGGACGAUGUUAUUCUUUGACGCGUUCGGCACCUUUCGAGAAAUCAAAGUGCUUGGGCUCCAGGGGGAGUAUGGUCGCAAGGCUGAAACUUAAAGAAAUUGACGGAAGGGCACCACCAGGGGUGGAACCUGCGGCUUAAUUUGACUCAACACGGGGAAACUCACCAGGUCCAGACACAGUGAGGAUUGACAGAUUGAGAGCUCUUUCUUGAUUCUGUGGGUGGUGGUGCAUGGCCGUUCUUAGUUGGUGGAGUGAUUUGUCUGCUUAAUUGCGAUAACGAACGAGACCUUAACCUGCUAAAUAGCCCGUACUGCUUUGGCAGUUCGCCGGCUUCUUAGAGGGACUAUCGG